AGAGUUUGAUCCUGGCUCAGAUUGAACGCUGGCGGCAUGCUUUACACAUGCAAGUCGGACGGCAGCACAGAGAAGCUUGCUUCUUGGGUGGCGAGUGGCGAACGGGUGAGUAAUAUAUCGGAACGUACCGAGCAGUGGGGGAUAACUAAUCGAAAGAUUAGCUAAUACCGCAUAUAUUCUGAGGAAGAAAGCAGGGGACCAUUUGGCCUUGCGCUGUUUGAGCGGCCGAUAUCUGAUUAGCUAGUUGGUGGGGUAAAGGCCUACCAAGGCGACGAUCAGUAGCGGGUCUGAGAGGAUGAUCCGCCACACUGGGACUGAGACACGGCCCAGACUCCUACGGGAGGCAGCAGUGGGGAAUUUUGGACAAUGGGCGCAAGCCUGAUCCAGCCAUGCCGCGUGUCUGAAGAAGGCCUUCGGGUUGUAAAGGACUUUUGUCAGGGAAGAAAAGGCUGUUGCUAAUACCGACAGUUGAUGACGGUACCUGAAGAAUAAGCACCGGCUAACUACGUGCCAGCAGCCGCGGUAAUACGUAGGGUGCGAGCGUUAAUCGGAAUUACUGGGCGUAAAGCGAGCGCAGACGGUUACUUAAGCAGGAUGUGAAAUCCCCGGGCUCAACCUGGGAACUGCGUUCUGAACUGGGUGACUAGAGUGUGUCAGAGGGAGGUAGAAUUCCACGUGUAGCAGUGAAAUGCGUAGAGAUGUGGAGGAAUACCGAUGGCGAAGGCAGCCUCCUGGGAUAACACUGACGUUCAUGCUCGAAAGCGUGGGUAGCAAACAGGAUUAGAUACCCUGGUAGUCCACGCCCUAAACGAUGU
rnacentral:rRNA from 1 species